rnacentral:rRNA from 1 species
AGAGUUUGAUUCUGGCUCAGAACGAACGCUGGCAGCGUGGAUUAGGCAUGCAAGUCGAACGAGAAUCCACGGCUUCAAGUUUUCGGACAAGAAGUUGUGGAGGAGAGUGGCGGAAGGGUGAGUAACGCGUGGGCAAUCUGCCCUUGGGUUGGGGACAACCUCGGGAAACCGGGGCUAAUACCGAAUAUGGCACUCCAUCGCAUGAUGGGGAUGUCAAAGGUGGGGAUCUUAACAGACCUGCCGCCCGGGGAGGAGCCCGCGUACGAUCAGCUUGUUGGUGGGGUAACGGCCUACCAAGGCUACGACCGUUAGCUGGUCUGAGAGGAUGGUCAGCCACACUGGGACUGAGACACUGCCCAGACUCCUACGGGAGGCUGCAGUCGAGGAUCAUUCGCAAUGCGCGAAAGCGUGACGAUGCGACGCUGCGUGUAGGAUGACGGCCUUCGGGUUGUAAACUACUGUCAUGAGGGAAGAACCAGCGGUGUAUGAAUAGUGCAUCGCUCUGACGGUACCUCAAGAGGAAGCCACGGCUAACUCUGUGCCAGCAGCCGCGGUAAUACAGAGGUGGCGAGCGUUGUUCGGAUUUACUGGGCGUAAAGCGUGCGUAGGCGGUUUCGUGUGUCGGAUGUGAAAGCCCACGGCUUACCCGUGGAACUGCAUCCGAAACUGCGGGGCUAGAGUGCAGGAGGGGAGAGCGGAAUUCUUAGUGUAGCGGUGAAAUGCGUUGAUAUUAAGAAGAACACCGGCGGCGAAGGCGGCUCUCUGGAAUGUUACUGACGCUGAGGCACGAAAGUUGGGGGAGCAAACAGGAUUAGAUACCCUGGUAGUCCCAACCGUAAACGGUGUGAACUUGGUGUAGGGGGUAUUGACCCCCCCUGUGCCGGAGCUAACGCGUUAAGUUCACCGCCUGGGGAGUACGGUCGCAAGAUUAAAACUCAAAGAAAUUGACGGGGGCCCGCACAAGCGGAGGAGCAUGUGGCUUAAUUCGAUGCAACGCAAGAACCUUACCUGGACUUGACAUGGUACUGCACGCUCCCUGAAAGGGGAGAAGCCUUCGAGGGUGUAUCACAGGUGCUGCAUGGCUGUCGUCAGUUCGUGCCGUGAGGUGUUGGGUUAAGUCCCGCAACGAACGCAACCCUUGUGGCUAGUUGCCAUCGUCGGUGAUGAGCCGACAGGAACUCUAGUCAGACUGCCCGUACAAGCGGGAGGAAGGUGGGGAUGACGUCAAGUCAGUAUGGCCCUUACGUCCAGGGCUGCACACGUGCUACAAUGGCCGGUACAGUAGGAUGCAAUACCGCGAGGUGGAGCUAAUCCCUAAAGCCGGCCCCAGUUCGGAUUGGAGUCUGCAACUCGACUCCAUGAAGUCGGAUUCGCUAGUAACGGCGUAUCAGCUACGACGCCGUGAAUACGUUCCCGGGCCUUGUACACACCGCCCGUCACACCAUGGGAGUUGGUUGCACCAGAAG